CUCGACCCCAGCGCCGCUGCUCACACUGCCCACGGCCGCUGCGUUGCGCCGCCGCCGCCCACGACCAUGACCAUUGCAUCGCGUCGUCGCCGUCUGACGCUGCGCCGCCGUCACAUGAAGUCACUCAUAAGCUUGUUCUCCGUGAGAAAGGCGAUUUAGAACUGUUUCUUCUUCCUUCUCUUGAUGAUCCGGUUUAUUUUGGUUUGUGUUCCUAGUGACUGUGUCUACAGCAUCGGCCUGCGGAGGCCGCGCUUCUUCCCCGGCGACCGCAUGGACCUGUGCGCCCGCACCCGCCCGCCGCCACGUGCUACGAUGCCAGGGCAAGGCCAAGGCCCACACCACGCUCGGCUCCGACAUCGACGCCUCCAGCCAUCCACGAUUCCACAGUGCCAAGCAUGCUGCUGGGAUCAUGAGCGUCAUUCUGUUCAGCACUUGAUGAUCAUUGGAGAUUUCAAGAGCACCUUUUGCCAGAUUGUGUGACACGUCCUGGCUCGCUCAGUUGUAAUUAACCCGGAUGAGCAUAGGAGAUUUUAAGAGCACCUCUCUAAGAGAUGGGUGGAAAGUAAUGAGAUGAGUCUAUCCAAAUAUGUAACUCCAGUGUUUUAUCGAAGCUUAACAUUGAGUUCUCUUUAUUGAUUACUUGAUCAUUUCCUAC